UCAGUGGCUGUUCAGACCUUUCAGAGACACUGAACACACCAGCAGCACAAUGAUGAUGUCACUGACUCUACUGCUGACCACCCUGGGGCUCCUUGUUCAGGGUUCAUCAGGAGAAAUCAUCCUGACUCAGACUCCUGGAUCUCAGUCUGUUGUUCCAGGACAGACUGUCUCCAUCAAAUGUAAAACCAGUACAAGUGUUAGCGACUACCUUCACUGGUAUCUUCAGAAACCAGGAGAACCUCCUAAACUCCUGAUUCGUUUUGCUACAACUCUUCAGUCAGGAAUUCCGAGUCGUUUUAGUGGAAGUGGAUCUGGUUCUGACUUCACUCUGACCAUCAGUGGAGUUCAGGCUGAAGAUUCAGGAGUUUAUUACUGUCAGCAUUGUAACAGCUUCCCGUUCACACAGUGA